rnacentral:rRNA from 1 species
AUGUUGCGCCGGUGCGUGCGGGAUCUGUACCCGCUGCGGUCCCUCAGGAGGAUCCCCAGGCCGAUCUCCAGCGAGGUCCAGAGUCCAACAUUUGGUCAACUAAGAAGAAACUCAACAAAAGCAUCCCAACAAGGUUCAGCACAGAAAUCUGUCCCUGGACCUAAAGAAGAACCUUCUAAGUCUGGAAGCAAGGUUCCAAAGCUUCUGCUUGGAACUCUGCUUGUUGGUGCUGCUGGUAUGGCCGCUUAUCAAGCUGGCUACAUAGACCUUCAGUUUAUGGAUGAAAAAUUGCCUUCGACCAUCAGGGAGCAAAAUCUCACAAAGAUGUAUGAAAAUCUGAAGUCCCCUUUUGAACAAAAGGUUGAUCAGAAACAAACCAUGUUGGAUCCAAAGAAUGGCAUUGUUCAGGAUACACCCAAGGGCCUUCCAGCUGAAGGGAUUCCAACUGCCGGUGAGCAGCCUACUCCUGCAGAAGAAAAAGAAACAGAAACCGUAACCCAGGGAACACUGCCAGUUCAAGAUGAGCAUGGUGCUGAUACUAAACUGCCGUCUCAAGAUACUCUCUCUGUUGAUAUAAAGCCAAAUGUUGUAAAUAAGGCAGCAGGUGAAGUUCCUCUUGGACAAGCUGACAAGAUAAGUAGCACAGUUUCUCCAGUAGAAUCAAGCCCAACAACGGCUGAAGUACAAAAGGAUCCAUUAGGUGCUGAUGUAGGUGAACAGAAAUCUCUUGCUGAGACAUAUUUACUACAGGAGGAGCAUGAUAUUCCUAAAGAUGUGAGUGCUAAGGAGACUAAAAGUGAUGGCAUUGUUGGUGGUGUAAAAGCUUCCGAUGAUGGGAAAAUUAUGCUGGAUAUUAUAGAUGCUAUUCAUGCCGCUGAAAAAAAGCAGGCAGAUACAGAUGCUUACACGUAUUCUGAAGAGAAAAGGAAGUUGAAGGAAAGAUACGAAAAGGAGCUGAAGGAUACUAGGGCCCGGGAGCUCAUGUACGCUGAAGAGGCAGCAAUUCUGGAUAAGGAGCUGAAGAAAGAGAAAAUGAAGGCUGCUGCUGCAGUUAAAGAACUUCAAGAAAAAACUGAACAAAAGCUGAUGGAUGAGCUGCAGCGGAAGGAUGAGGAAGCAAGUCAACAAGUUGAGAAGGUACAAGAGUUGGCAAAAGCCGAACUGGCCGCAGCUCUUGCAAAGGAGAAAGCAUCCCAGAUCGAACAGAUUGCUGAAGCAGAUCUCAAUAUAGAUGCUUUGUGUAUGGCAUUCUAUGCGCGAUCUGAAGAAGCUCGGCAGAGUCAUUCUGUUCAUAAGCUUGCUCUAGGCACUCUUGCUUUGGAAGAAGCUCUAUCCAGCGGCUCGCCAAUCCGGACAGAGGUCGAUCAAUUGCGUAAAUCUCUUGAAGGUAUUGAUAAAGAUUCACUGUUAGAAUUGGCUCUUUCAUCGCUUCCAGAAGAUGUUCUCAAGUAUGGAUCAGAUACCCGGAUGGAGUUAAAACAGAAGUUUAAUUCCUUGAAGGCAACAAUCAGACAUUUCGGUCUUAUACCAUCAGGUGGUGGUGGUAUACUUACGCAUGCUGUCGCUCAUGUUGCUUCUAACAUCAAGGUCGAAGAGGACCCAUCUGGAGAUGGUGUUGAGUCUCUCAUAAGCAGAGUGGAAGACUUGAUUGUAGGAGGAGAUUUGACUGCAGCAACCGAAGCCCUGACAGGAGGGUUGCAGGGGACCGCAGCGGAGGAAGCAGCUGCCGAGUGGGUGAAGCAGGCAAGGAAACGCGCGAUUGCAGAGCAGACGCUCACCCUGCUUCACUCGUACGCUUCUUCGAUCACAUUUACGUGA